rnacentral:rRNA from 1 species
GACGAACGCUGGCGGUGUGCUUAACACAUGCAAGUCGAACGGUAAGGCCCUUUCGGGGGUACACGAGUGGCGAACGGGUGAGUAACACGUGAGUAACCUGCCCUCAUCUCUGGGAUAACAGUCGGAAACGGUUGCUAAUACUGGAUAUGAGCUUGCAAGGCAUCUUGUGGGUUGGAAAGAUUUUUUUGGUUGGGGAUGGACUCGCGGCCUAUCAGCUUGUUGGUGAGGUAGUGGGUCACCAAGGCUUCGACGGGUAGCCGGCCUGAGAGGGCGACCGGCCACAUUGGGACUGAGAUACGGCCCAAACUCCUACGGGAGGCAGCAGUGGGGAAUAUUGCACAAUGGACGGAAGUCUGAUGCAGCAACGCCGCGUGCGGGAUGACGGCCUUCGGGUUGUAAACCGCUUUCAAUUGUGACGAAGCUUUUUGUGACGGUAGCAGUAGAAGAAGCACCGGCUAACUACGUG